AAAUGGAAGGAUGAAGUGUGCAGCCGGAGCGGUGAUGUUCCUUCUCUCCUUGCUUUCCCCUGCAGGAACGUAAUCCGCAAUGCUAGUUCUCAGGUUGCUCAAUGUUGUCGCUCCAGCCUACUUCUUGUGCAUCUCUCUAGUGACCUUCGUCCUCCAGAUCUUUCUCUUCAUCCCCAGCAUGUUCAGAGACCCUUCCACCACCCCACUUUUAUCUCCUGCUCUGCUGCAUGGGGCCCUCUUCCUCUUCCUCUCAGCUAACGCCCUGGGCAACUACGUCCUUGUGAUCCAGAGCUCCCCCGAGGACUUGGGCAAGGGCUUAAACUUGGGCAAAGGAGCCGAAGGGCUGGACGGAAGCAGGUCCCCUGGUUCAGCCUUGCCCAGCACUCACUUCUGUAGACUGUGUGCCAGAGUCACCCAGAGGCAUGACCACCACUGUUUCUUCACAGGGAACUGCAUUGGGAGCAGGAACAUGCGAAACUUCAUCAUGUUCUGCCUCUACACCUCCCUGGCUUGCCUCGACUCCCUUGUGGCAGGCAUGGCUUACAUUUCUGCUGCACUCUCCAUGUCCUUUGCAAACCCGCUGGCCUUCCUCACUCUUCUGCCUCACUCCAUCAGCCAGUUCUUCUCAGGUAAGGACUCCUUCCUUGGAG